rnacentral:misc_RNA from 1 species
AUUUGUUCUGUGCUUAAUUCUAUGUGCAUUUGCAGGUUUUUCACCCUUUUUCCAUACAGGAAAUCAGUGCAUGUUGUGGUUUUUAUCUUGCAAGCAUUUUGAGAUUCCAUAAUCACAAUUAAUAAUGUGCCUAUUCCCUAAUUUGCAACUUUCUGCAUUAUUUUCUGCUUGAUGAUGCAACUGCAAAAAGUAGAAAGUGGAUUGACGGAAAAAAGAAGAAGAAGAAGAAGAAGAAGAAGAAGAAGAAGAUAGUUAUGGGUCCAUGGCUAGGUUUAAAGGAUGGAAAAACAAAAAAAAAAAAAGAAGGGAAGAGAGG